CCUUCGACAAGAAUCGGACUCCGUCCAAACUUCCAUAGCGGAUGGAUUCUGGAUGAGCUUCUACAACAGACGGGCCCAAGCAGUCAGACUUCAAUAAUGCCAUCCAGACUUCCACAGGAUCCCCAGACUCCUCCAGCGGAUGAACCUCCCCAACACCAUCCGAAGUCCACCGCCGGCCGACCCUCUGCUAGAUUCUUCAUGAAACCAGACUUCUCCUGCGGAUAAUCUUUAGACGAGCUUCCACAUCAGGCAAAUCCCAGACGG
rnacentral:lncRNA from 1 species